rnacentral:rRNA from 1 species
UACAGAGGGGGCGAGCGUUGUUCGGAAUUACUGGGCGUAAAGGGCGCGUAGGCGGCCACUUUAGUCGGACGUGAAAUCCCCGGGCUCAACCCGGGAACUGCGUCCGAUACUGGGUGGCUAGAGUCCGGGAGAGGGAAGUGGAAUUCCAGGUGUAGCGGUGAAAUGCGUAGAUAUCUGGAGGAACACCGGUGGCGAAGGCGGCUUCCUGGACCGGUACUGACGCUGAGGCGCGAAAGCCAGGGGAGCAAACGGG